rnacentral:rRNA from 1 species
UACAGAGGUCUCAAGCGUUGUUCGGAUUCAUUGGGCGUAAAGGGUGCGUAGGCGGCGCGGUAAGUCGGGUGUGAAAUCUUGGAGCUUAACUCCGAAACUGCAUUCGAUACUGCCGUGCUUGAGGACUGGAGAGGAGACUGGAAUUUACGGUGUAGCGGUGAAAUGCGUAGAUAUCGUAAGGAAGACCAGUGGCGAAGGCGGGUCUCUGGACAGUUCCUGACGCUGAGGCACGAAGGCCAGGGGAGCAACCGGG